rnacentral:rRNA from 1 species
UACGUAGGGUGCGAGCGUUAAUCGGAAUUACUGGGCGUAAAGCGUGCGCAGGCGGUUAUGUAAGACAGAUGUGAAAUGCCCGGGCUUAACCUGGGAACUGCAUUUGUGACUGCAUGGCUAGAGUGUGUCAGAGGGGGGUAGAAUUCCACGUGUAGCAGUGAAAUGCGUAGAUAUGUGGAGGAAUACCGAUGGCGAAGGCAGCCCCCCUGGGAUAACACUGACGCUCAUGCACGAAAGCGUGGGGAGCAAACAGG